AUUGAACGCUGGCGGCAGGCCUAACACAUGCAAGUCGAGCGAGAAAGCCCUUCGGGGUGAGUAUAGCGGCGGACGGGUGAGUAACGCGUAGGAAUCUACCUGGUAGUGGGGGACAACAUGUGGAAACGCAUGCUAAUACCGCAUACGACCUAAGGGUGAAAGUGGGGGACCUUCGGGCCUCACGCUACCAGAUGAGCCUGCGUAAGAUCAGCUAGUUGGUGGGGUAAAGGCUCACCAAGGCGACGAUCUUUAGCUGGUCUGAGAGGAUGAUCAGCCACACUGGGACUGAGACACGGCCCAG
rnacentral:rRNA from 1 species